UACGUAGGGCGCAAGCGUGUCCGGAAUUAUUGGCGUAAAGGAGCUACGUAGGUGGCUUGUCGCGUCUGCCGUGAAGCCCGCGGCUUAACUGCGGGUCUGCGGUGGAUACGGGCAGGCUAGAGGCUGGUAGGGGCAAGCGGAAUUCCUGGUGUAGCGGUGAAAUGCGUAGAUAUCAAGAGGAACAGCCUGAGGUGAAGACGGGUUGCUGGGCCGACACUGACGCUGAGUGCGCGAAAGCCAGGGGAGCAAACGGG
rnacentral:rRNA from 1 species